CGGGGUUUCGUACGUAGCAGAGCAGCUC
rnacentral:piRNA from 7 species